UUGGAAAUGAAAUGAACAUGCCACCAGCUGCUCAGAGAGGUUAAAGCUGCUCUUGGACAGAAAUAAUUUUCACCAGUGGUAGUCCAUUAUGCAUACAUACCAAAAUACAUGGUACAACUCCUGAGGCAGACAGAAACAUUUAUAAAUGUUAUGGAACAAAAGGAUCGAGUCAAAAUCUGUCUGAGCUGGAGGCCGACCACAUAGGAGAAGAGCAUCAUAAGAGCGAAAAAGAAGCAGCACAC
rnacentral:lncRNA from 1 species